CCUAAGUUCUGGUAAAUAUUUAGUUUGUGUUGAGAUAAAAGAAUGCCAGCAGACUAAAUUUUGGGGCUUGAGUAUGCUUACUUUCAAAAAACUUUCCUGCUAUGGUCCACUUGGCUUUCCUAAGCCCUGAUGGAUGUGUGGAGGUGAAUUCAAAAGCAUUUCCUAUGAUUUACUUGAGGUAAAAAACAUAAUUGGCCAAAGAGAUGGGAGGACCUCGUGGUUAAAGACUGUGGUUUGUAAAUUUGGAUUGAGAAGAGAUGCCUGGGUUCUGGCAAGGAAAUCUCAUUGGUUCUUGUCUUGGAGGUCAAUAAAUCAUAUGGUGUAGGCAGGGUUUUUCUUGUGGGUUUUUAAGAUCCCGAUUUUCUAAGUAUGGUAGCCUCAGGAGGCCACUGACAUUAAGUCCCCCCUCCCCCAUUUCCUUGGCAAUUAGACGUUGUCUGGCUAAGAUUCAGCCCUGACCUAUGUUUCAGAGUUGAGUCUCCUUGGCAAAGCUUAUUUCCUCUGGGCUGAGAGUGUAAAAGGGAAGUGUCAUGUGUGACAGUAUCUACCUUCCUACCUAUCUACCCACCUACCUAUCUACCCACCUACCUAUCUACCUACCUACCUACCUACCUAAUCUAUCUAUAUAUCCAUUCAUUCAUUCAUUUCUAUCUAUCCAUCUAUCUCUGUUUGUCCAUUCAUCUAUCUGUCUAUCUGUCCAUUUAGCUAUCUUUGCCAAAGUGUGAAAAGGUACCAAUGUCCCCAUAUCCUCUCAUCAUCUCUGUAAAUCCUGGAAAGCAGGCUGACUUGAGAUGGGAAUAGGAGAAUAAUAGACAUUCAUACAGUGCCUAAGACGUCACCCUUUAAGCCAUUUUCCCAGACUUCAGGAGUCUGUUUUCUCAAGCAUGCAUUCCUAUUUACUAUGGGGUGAGGACUUUCUUGCAGCAUGGGAGAAGGAAAGCCUGCAGCUACC
rnacentral:lncRNA from 1 species